AAUCCGGAGCUUGUGUGUUCAUUAUUGAGUGACGGGUAAAUCAGCCAAUCGUAUUUUGCUAUUGUAGUGGGCGGGACAAAAGCUUCGGGAAAGAAGCUUCCAGAAGGCCGAAGCGGGAAAAAGAGCACGAAGUGUGGCUGCUACGGGAGAAGAUGACGCCAUCGUGGCUAGCUUGAUAGCACCAGGAACACACCAGGACUGUGUCGACAGGGAGCCUUGGCACUUGUGUCGAUAGAGAAAGGAUUUGUCAUGGAACAUAAAGCUAAGGACAAACUUUAUGACGCUGCCAUUUCCCAUUUCACGAAGAAGGACCUAUGGAUGGACUUGAUAUUCAAGUAGCCACAUGAGUCCCGGCCAAAGUGCUGUUCACAUACAAUGAACGCAUCGAGCCAAGAAAUCCAAGUCCAAAUGCCCGGAUGCUGUUCUCGCCGCGCCCCCUUUACCGAGGAUGCAUCGGAGGUGACUUGUGUGUUCUUGGGAGAGCCAAGUAUCCCAUAAUGCAUUUCGCAGCACCCAGCGGCAGCAAUGGAGGUUGAGAGAGCUCACAGCUUUACUUUGUUACCACUUUUGGCCUGUCAAUAAAAAGCCAAGCAGGCCAAAAAGCAGUGGAACAAUCUGAAGGAAAAGUACAAGAGAUCCACCCACAGGGAAAGGGGUAGCGUCAGGAAGUGUGACUGCUGCCAGCUGGCAGUGGUACAGUGCGAUGGAUGCUGCACUCCAGGGGCAGCACUCAAUUAGUCCGCCCCUGGUUGUUGCAGCAAACUUAACUGCCACUGAGGGUGGUGUGGUCACACUGGCCACACCAGAGGAAGCCAGGGCCAGUCAGCCUCCCAGAAAGAGGCCCAGGGACAGCCAGGCUCUUCUGGACUUCUUGAGAGAAGAGGCAGAGAGGGAGUUUCCGAGGAAUCUUCUCCAGGAGGACAUCUACAGGCCUAUCUAACUGCUGUGCCCGUUUCAAGCAAAAAUGGGUGCUGCAGGAGAGCGACAUCAGGCACAAAUGAAUCUUCUACUUCAACUUAAGGUUUUAGAAUAGUUUCCCACAACUCUUCAGUUUAUCUUAGCGGGCUUAAUCUUCAUUCUACCUGUCUCACUCACAUUUCCCUCCUUUCGCCUGUUUCUCGGGGUCACACUGAGAGGUAGUGCAUUUCUUUUUCUCAUGAAAAAAUGUACAGUUUGAAUAUUGAUGUGAAAAAAAUUUAAGGACACAUUUAUGGUUUAGUAUUGUAUUAGUUACCAUUAAUUUUAAUUUCUCUAAUGUAAAUUGAACAGUUUUGACAUUAAAGUUGGUAGUAACGGCAAACUCAGCCUGGAUGUUAAGAGUAAUACGUUUCAUUAUAUGCUGAAUGUCUUUCUGUUCUGCAGAGUGGAAUUCCCAUUUUGACAACACGAGAGGUCAUCCGUGGUCUCAUUGACAGCAUGUCGACGUCCCCACACACAACAGAGGGCACACGCUCAACCUGGUCAUUACUGACACUGCCCCAAUCAAAAAUCUGCUGACGUACGAUCUGGGAAUGUCGGAUCACAAAGCCAUUUCAUUGGAGUUGAAAUUCUAUCACCACACCAAGCCAAAACAUUUCACAUCAGCAAAUGAAUCAGUGGAUUUUUACAACAACACCCUGAGCAGUAUCCUGGACCUCCAUGCCCCUGUGAAAACACAAACAGUCACCUUCUCUCACUCAGCCCCCUGGUUCAUAUCUUACAGAGCUCCUAGUUUCAUAUUAUCCCAAUAGAUCACUUCGCUCUGUAAAUGCAGGAUUACUUGUGGUUCCCAGAGUCUGUAAAAGUAGAAUGGGAGGCAGAGCCUUCAGCCAC